rnacentral:rRNA from 1 species
UACGUAGGUGGCAAGCGUUGUCCGGAUUUAUUGGGUUUAAAGGGUGCGUAGGCGGCUUUGUAAGUCAGUGGUGAAAUAUGGCAGCUCAACUGUCAAGGUGCCAUUGAUACUGCGGAGCUUGAGUACAGAUGAGGUAGGCGGAAUUGACGGUGUAGCGGUGAAAUGCGUAGAGAUCGGCAGGAACACCCAGGGGGAAACCAGCCGACUGGGCAUCUGCUGACGCUGAGGUGCGAGAGCGUGGGGAGCGAACCGG